UGCUCUUUACAAGUUACCAAAACAUGCUAAAGGAGAGAUUCCCAUGCUGGGGCUGGAAUACAUGUACAUGGAUGCCCUGGCUCCGCAGUGGCAGCUUGGUAAAUACCUCAUCAACACGACGCAGGGCGCUCUGGGACGAACACUGAAGCAGCUGUAUGACACAUAUGAAUCUAAGAGGAACACCAUUGCCUAUGCGAUAUACAACGAUGAGAUCCCUGAAUCAGACUCCAGAGGGUGGAAAAGUGGACACACCAAAGGAUUUCUGCUCUUGGACAAAUCACAAGGCUUCUGGGUAAUUCACAGUGUGCCUCUGUUCCCUCCCAUCCCUGAGGAAGGUUAUGGGUAUCCAGCUACUGGGGAGUCCUUUGGACAGACAGCCAUCUGUAUAACCUUCAAAUAUGACCAGUUCACUGAAAUAGACCAACAGAUGUUGAGUUAUAAUCCCGGAAUCUACAGUUGUUCCAUCCCUAACAUCUUCCAAGCUGAUCUCCCAAAUCUGCAGAAGCUCUGUGCAAAGUCCAGGCUGCCCGUGGUCCCCUUGCGCCACCUCACCAAGCUCCGGUCAGCUCGUGGGGAAACCUUUCUCCACUUUGCAAAGUCACACUCAUUCAUAGAUGAUAUCUAUGUGGCCUGGAUAGCUCAGGAACUGAAGACCGAUUUGUUGGCUGAAUCCUGGCAGCGUUCUGGCCAAAAACUUUACUCAAAUUGCUCUCUCGAUUACCACGUCUACAACAUAAACCUAAUAGGGAUGCCAUUGAAUUCCACCUUUCAUUCCAUUAAUGAUCAUUCCAAAUGGGCUGUUUCAAGGAAAUACAAAGAUCAGUGGACCUGCAUCGGAGACUUAAACCGUGCUGCCGAGCAAGCUUGGAGAAGUGGGGGAUGUGCUCAGCAAAACUGACCCUGCAGGAAGGCACAAGCACUGGACCCUGGCCUGGAGAAGGAAUAAAGCUGCUCUCUUGUCUGCAAACCUGGAGUAUCUUCUCAGCGUGCAGGAAAGUCAAGGUGAGAAUAAAGGAACUGACAAUGUUGCAUGGAAUAUUUUGCAAAAAAAGACCAUGAAAGAAUUUCUGCACAGCAAAUAGGGAUAAUCUGUGCAGUUGUAUCCCCAGCCACUCACCAACUUGCCCUCCUCUUACUGUCAAAAGAUGAGAAGAAACAGAGAAACGGGAGCAAAGAGAGUUUGCAGGAAGAAGGGAGAAGAAGGAAUAAGACAACUGAAGAUACAGUCUCCACAGGCUACACCGCGGAGAUAAAAAUGAAAGGCAUAAACUGAGGUGACUUAGCCAAGCAGUACAAAAACACAAACCAACACCCGAGAGGAAGUUGCUACCUCUCUGUUACCAAACUACGAGAGGUGAGGCAAAAACUUUAAUAAAGGAAUAGGUCUGCUGCAACAAAGGAAAUAACAGCAAAAACAGAGACAAGGACACAUCCUAACCCCACUAAUAUCAGCAGGAAUUUGCCUUCAUCUUCAGUGGGAACAGAACUUCAAAGACAUGGGAAUCACCUAUAAAACCUGAAGGAUUUUCUAAGCUUGAGAGACCAGUUUUCAAAAGCUCUUUAGCAAAGUUAUUAUGUUGCAAGCAUUACUCCGACAGAAGAAACUGUAAAAGGAUGAUCAGAAAUAGUCAGGGGAACAAAGAUUGUGUUCAGCAUCACUCUGUGUUGGGUAAAGCACCGAACUGGUUGAACCAUGCAGACCAAGCAAAAGAGAUCCUGUGAUAAAAGGUCUAACUCAAGAGCAGAUUUCACUAUGAGUUUAAUUUCUUUGUUCAGUCAAACCCUGUGCACCAGACAGGAUUGACUCUGACAAGCUUCUACAGAAAAAUGAUCCCAAAGAGACUGAAAUCUAGGCCACAGCUACGAAUAAUUCUUCGGAAGCUCUCUGGAUUUCCUGGAGGGCAAGGUGUGGCUCUGUGUGUGGGAGGACAGUUCUUUGGAAAAGGACAGUGAUCUCAGAAGUAGCACAAGGAAUUCAGCAAAAUACCAGGCUGGAAACAGUAGAUGCUUCUUCAGUACUUUGCCAUGGGUAGCUAUUGGAUAAACUUCUGAGAAAGUGUAAUGUAUCAAAUCACAAUUUUGUUGUUCAUAGAAUUUCUAUUUGGGGAAGUAUUCCUGUUUUCUGCACUAGGCACUUGAAACUCCAGCAACCUCCAUUAUAUUUUUUUCCCCAGCUAAUAUACAAUUAAUGCAUUAUCUACUAGUUAUAAUCUACUAACUAACCAGAAGUGCUGACAGACUUGUAGUAAAUCAAACACCCAGUAUUAACAAGGCUGAUCUGGUUAUCAGUUUAAGAUAAUGGCCAGCUGUGCCAUCUUGAUAAAUCCUGUGGGAAGAAGUUAUUGUAAUGUCGGUUAUAACUACAUGGUUACUACUGUGUUGACAUCCGUACAUAAAGCAACUGUGAAAUAAUUUUUUAAACUCUAACGAGUUUAAAACUCAACAGUCAUAUGUAGCAGACUAGGGAAUUUCCAUAAUUUUUAAAUAAUACAUUUGCAAGGUUUUUUUGCAAGAAUACCGUGUAAAAUGCCUUCUUUUUUAAAAUGCUCUCCUUUGCUUCAUUUUUCCUGAGAUUAUUUAAGUCUUGCUCUGUCGGGCUUCCAAAAGCUUUGCUUCUUUUUCUUUGUCACAUGCACGUAGACACACGUUCUGAGAUGUUUGACACAGACAUUUGAAUGCAUCACUGAUUACUGCUCUUUGCAUGGUACAGCAAGAGGGUACACCAGGCUGAACUGCUGCACCUUCAAGAAGGGCAGGAUGAGACCCAGAGAACUACAGGUCUGCCAGCCUCACCCCUUUCCCCAGGAUGACUCUGGAGCAAAUACUCCUGGAAGACAUUUCCUAGCACCUGAGAUACACAAAGGUGAUUGAGAACAGACGGUGUAAAGUGGCUUUACCAAGGGCAAACCUUUGAUGGGAAGACUGGCUCAACAGAGGAGGAAGAGCAGUGCUUGCUAUUUACCUUGACUUUAGGGAGGCCUUCAACAUGGACUCCCACAGUGCCCUUACAGUCAGUUUGGAGAAAUAUGCAGUGGAAAAAUGUACAAGGUAGAUGGAUGGGCUGUGCAGUAAAUGGGUGUUGAUCAGCAGUUCUAAGUUCACACAAAAAGGUGGCUGGUUACUACUGGUGUUCCUCAGGGACCCAUACAGAGGCCAAAACUCUUACUGUCCUUAUUAAUGGCCUAGACAAGGUAACAGAGUGCACUCUCAGCACAUUUAGGAAUGAUACCUUUGGGGGACAUGGAUGUCAAUAGUCUGGAAGAUAAAACUGCCAUUCAGAGGGGCCUUUGUUGGUUUUUUUUAACAUUGUUUUGUUUCUUAAGCCUAGGACUUUUUACACAAAAGCAUGAAGAUUGUAAAGAAAUUCUCUAAAGCAAAAGCAUUACAGAAUGAAAACUAAGAAAAUUUCAUUUGCUCCUUAUUCAGCCAUAGCAAAAUUAACUUUUUUGGACACUGAGUCCACAUUUCUCAUUUGCUGGGUGGUGAACUUGAGAUAUGUGGAAUCUGGUAUCUAGAAUGAUCCUGAGCAUGGUGACAUUAAUUGUGAACCUAAUUGAAUAUAGUUGUGGUUUAAAUGCAUAGUGCUAAAUAUUCACCAAAUAACCUCUGGGUAUCUUACACUGGGCAUUCUAAAUUCAUAGAUAUGUUUAAUAAAUUUUGUUUUGACAAAAUGGUUUAAUUUUCUCAUCCAUAUAAUGGACAUCAUGCCUUCUUUCCAGUAAGCACCUUAAUGUUUGUACACAGCUCAGGUACUGUAAACAAGAGUAACCCAGAAAAGCAUAUGAAAAUAAUAAUUUUUUUUUUUGUGUUAAGUAAUGGGAUGAGGACAGGCAUUGAGAGCAUGUAGUAAGACCUAGUGUUAAUUCUAAACGUUAAAUAAUACCCAACUUUAUCAUGCAUGAUACCCAUUUUAUCCAUUAGAGAGAUUGCCCUGGGUGACUGAAAACACUGAAAUUAAAAGACUGUAACCAAGAUCCACUAAGGAAUGCAAGCCUGUAAGUCUCAAGCAGAUGAUCCUGAAAACUACUCACGCAGUUCCUGUGUAGGCACCUUGUAAUUUUACUUUGCUCCCCUAUGAAAUGCACCCCUGGAGAAACAGCUCUGGGUAUGCCUAAGUCUGGGAACAGUCUGGAAAGAGCUAAGCAGUUUAGCAUUUAUUUUUUGCUUACGCCUAGCUGAGUAAACAAGAGGCUUUUCUACAGUAGAGAUAACAGAUGGCUUGGUACAGUAUCACAUACCAAGCAUCACGGGCCUAGGAUCUCUACAAAAUACAAUUGCAGGGUUUCUCUCAAAAAGUGAUGGUAUAGAUGUUCAUAUUUCAUAGGACAGCAUAUUGUGGUGGGCCCAUGUCCAGCUCUAUUCUCAGCUGAAGAGAUGUGGGCUCAAAGACAGAUUCCCCUGCCACAGGGAGUGUCUCCCACCACUGACCAUUCCACCCUGGUGAGACCAUAUUAUCCUUUCUUCACUGCGCAAAAAAAACCCCAACAGAGCAUGCUAUGUAAGUUGUAAAAUAAGAGUAUCCUGGUUAAAAUGUUAUUUGCACAGAACAGAGUUCAAAGUUAAAACAAGCAAAAGACUCUGGAAUUCCUAUGAAAAAAUUAACCUAAUACUAUGCAUGCAUUUAUUAGUUGGGCCUUCCAUUGAAGUUGUAAUUGUACCUUGUCAGUGAUCUCUACCAAGUCCACAAUGUGUUUCUGGUGUAUUUUAUUGCUCCUUCCCUGCCUUAGGAAGUUCUUGUAUUUUUGUGUAUCAUUAUUUUGUUCCUGUGAGUCCUUGGAAGAAAAGUAUUUGAAUAAUAUUAGGAGGUUGUCUUCCCUCUUGCUGGGAGGGAGAAAAGAUAAUGUGUUUUUUCCACAUGUAAGAACUCGGUGAUCCCAACAAAAACACCAUUGCAAAUUGGAACUACAAAAACACAGAACUCCCUGUGUGCUCUGCUAACAGCAGUGAUGAAAAUCUUUGCUAAUGACUUUGAGAGACACCCUUGCAAUCUCUGACAUCUGAAUCAGCUAGAGAGAUAAAGUUACAGCAAGUCCUUGGUUAACAUAUUCUCAACAAAAUCCUCCAAAAUUCAAUUACCAUGGAAACUACUUAUCCUUAAGGCACUAAGGAUUGCUGAAAUAUUUUCUCCUGACAAAAAUGGGAGUGAAAAAUAUCAGGUUGUGCAUAAUGAGGCCUUUGAUCUUCCAUUUACAUCUGUGUUAAGUAGAGGUAAUCUCUAUGAAGCAAGUUGAGUUGAAGAGCAAUAUUCAUUUAUAGGACAGAACAAGGUUUAAGACUUUGGCUAAUUCUGGUUAUUUCUAGAUGUUUUUCCAUUAUCUUCGUAUGUUUAUGAUAACAGAUUUCUUUUUAUUUUUCUAGUAAGAGAAACAUAGUAAGGCAAAAUAGUGUUUGUAUAUAAAAUUAGUAGAUAACUUCAAGCUUUUAAAAAUUCCUUGGGACAAAUGGAAAUAAUCAGCCCCACUGAGACUCAGAAUUUUGUAGUCUGAGAUUAAAAAUGCCUCUAAUUUAGCCCAGCCCCCCCCAAAUCCCUUAGUACUCAUUUUCUAUAAAACAGAGUAUGGUCUUUGCUGUGCACAAACAUUUGCACGCCUCUAAGCAGGACAAUCAGCUCAGGAGCA